GCACCUUCUGUAUGGACUUCCUUCACCAGAGUGAGGUGUUGGCUCUGCAUGAGCAGCGUAACCAGCUCACGGUGCGUUUUGUGCUCCCACAGCUGGUGACGCUGGUAACGAGCUCUCAGAGAGACGUGAAGGCUGAAGGCUGAGUGAGACACAGAUGCUUUGUGCACUGGAACACAGAGAGAUGUCUCCAUCGCUGAGGGACCUCAUCACACUUGGACGUUUCUUUCACAUCUGCACUAAUUGCUCCUCAUCUCAUCCAUCAUGUCUUCUUUGGGUGUUUAUGGCUGAGAAAACACCUUCAAUCUGCAUUUUUCAACAAUAUUUUGUCAGUGAAUCAUGUUGAUGUUGAUCUUUGUGUCCAUGUAGUUGUGAUGUCAUCAUUUGGGGCUCACGUGUCAUCACAUUGACAAGGAUUUCUUCUUUCCUUUUCAAACCAAUAGACAGCUGCUUAUCAGUGAAUAUCACCUUGUGUCACAUGUCAUCAUUAUUUUUACAAAUAUUUUGGAACAAUAGCGCAAUUUUUCGGUAUUUUUUUAUGUUAAUGUUAAUUGUUUGAUAAUCAAUUUUUUGUUGUAACAUUUAAGAAUGAUGAUUAUGAGAACUGCUGUCCAGUUGUUAUAUCUUGUUUUCUGGUUACAUUAGUCUCCUUUGCAAUGCAGUUGCACUUCCAAGACCAUUAGAUGGCAGCACUGUAUAACUAUUUAUGCUAUGUUAUCAAACUAGAAAGUAGCUUUUUUUCAGGAAGAUGAAUUUGUUAGGUUGCGCCCUACAAAGUGUCAAUACUGUAAGUAUUGUCGUCAUUGCACAAAACUGUAAAAUUCUAACUAUAUUAUUAGUUAUUGUUUCCUUUACCAAAUCAAAGGUGUUGAAAUCGCCAUGUAAAAUCGCUCAUGCUAAUAGUCGCCUGUCUAUGGCUAAUCCUAUGUAAAUUAGCAUUAAGCUAGCGCAUUUUGAAAGGGUGUAGCAUUACUUUACGUUUGAGCGUAUUUUUUAUUAAGCACACUUUGUUGGUGUUGAAAAUGGCAAGGUGACUUAGAGGGAGUUUGGCUGAGUCCGGCCUGAGUGCUGCUUGAGUGAUUGUUUACGUGUUUAGUCUGAAACCAGACAUGACCAGUCUGAAACCGGACAUGACGUCACAUGCAACAAAGGUAUCGAACUACGGCACCGUUUGAUUUUACGUGAAUUGAUAGUACCGAGGGAAUUCGGUCAUUACCUACAAAAGUACUGAAUUGGGUAGCCAACCCUACCAGUUAGUGUGACGGAGGGGGACAGUGACGCAACAUUUUCAUGACAAAGCGUUGCAAAAUAUAUUUAUAUUUUUUGAAAAUA